UCUUGUCAGAACGUUUGGGAGAAAGAGAAACAAUUGGUCGUCUCAAAACCUUCUUAACUGUACGCAUGGCAGACGAAGAAACAGUUGCUCGAGCCACAUCCUUUCUCUCAUCCAACAUAGAGGUCUUCUUUUCUUUAAUGCUUCUGAGUUUAUUUUGCUCUCGGCUACUUAAUGAUCUAGGUGGAUUCAACAAAGAAAGUCCCAUUUCGUUGUCUUUAUAGAGUCCAACACCGUCUUCUUUACUGCAUGAAUGCUGUUUAAUUGGCAGAGUAGACGACUUUGACAGCAUAGACUUUGGCUUUGGAACUACUUCCUUGAGAGGCAAUGAAUGCUGUUUUAACAAGACAGUCUCUCUCUUACACAGAGAUGACGUCUUAGUGAGAACAGAAAAAUCAGGUUUCUGGCAUUUGGACCCUGAAGAAGGCGUAAAACUGACUGCUAGUUUCAUUUUUCUCUCUGCUAAAGUUAGAGUCUUCCCAAUUUCCUGGCUUUUACCUUGCUUUUCCAUUCUUUUCCCCAUUACGGGACUAUUUGGUGUCUUUGUUUCAGGAUCCUGUCUUGUUCCAUAUUUACAAUUAUCAUGGCAAGAACCUGUUGAAGCUGCAAGAUAACGGGAAAGAAUCUUAACACUUUUGUAUGGGAUGCCAAUGUUCCCAGUAGAGAACCUUCUUAC
rnacentral:lncRNA from 1 species